rnacentral:lncRNA from 1 species
CAUGGGUUCUAAGGAUGUUGUUCUACACAUUCGAUCUAUCCGAUCGUCGGGUACCAUUGCUAGAUGGUCACUUCGAUUGGUAUAAAAAUUUAUUCCUAUGCUACCGACUUAGGUUCAGAUCUAUGAGAUCACACACAUUAAAGUUCACAAUCUGAUCAGAUGGUUGAUCAACGAUAAAGAAUCAUUCAAGGGUUAAACGAUCAAUACGAUUGACAUUUAACCUAGUGC